rnacentral:rRNA from 1 species
GAUGAACGCUGGCGGCGUGCCUAAUACAUGCAAGUCGAGCGAAUGGAUUAAGAGCUUGCUCUUAUGAAGUUAGCGGCGGACGGGUGAGUAACACGUGGGUAACCUGCCCAUGAGACUGGGAUAACUCCGGGAAACCGGGGCUAAUACCGGAUAACAUUUUGAACCGCAUGGUUCGAAAUUGAAAGGCGGCUUCGGCUGUCACUUCUGGAUGGACCCGGGUCGCAUUAGCUAGUUGGUGAGGUACCGGCCAACCAAGGCAACGAUGCGUAGCCGACCUGAGAGGGUGAUCGGCCACACUGGGACUGAGACACGGCCCAGACUCCUACGGGAGGCAGCAGUAGGGAAUCUUCCGCAAUGGACGAAAGUCUGACGGAGCAACGCCGCGUGAGUGAUGAAGGCUUUCGGGUCGUAAAACUCUGUUGCUAGGGAAGAACAAGUGCUAGUUGAAUAAGCUGACACCUUGACGGUACCUAACCAGAAAGCCACGGCUAACUACGUGCCAGCCGCCGCAGUAA